rnacentral:piRNA from 1 species
UUGUCUUUCAUUUCAGACGUG